GGGGGUAUAGUAUAGUGGCAAUACACGGCAUUCGCAUUGCCGAGACCUGGGUUCGAUUCCCAGUAUCUCCA
rnacentral:tRNA from 1 species